rnacentral:lncRNA from 1 species
GAAAGUCUUGCAAAGGGAUUUCGCUCGGGUUGGUCAACCUCUGAAUGUUGACUUUUUACGAGUUCUGAGUCUUGUUUUUUCGUUUUUGGCCGGAAGUACAGAUUUAGGAAGGAGAUUUUACAAGAUAGGUUUUGUAAUUGUAGAAAGUUUUGUGAUUGUGAGUGUAAAUUUGAAUAAGUAGACGUCAAUGGAGUUUGAUCUUUUUGAUUCUUCGAGUUUUGGGUUUUCUCUGUUUGUGAUUUUUAAAACUUCGUAUAUGAUUGAUUCUUUCCCUGUUAAAUAUGAAGAGGGUGGAAGCCUUUUCUCUCCCUUGAAUUUUAGAAUGUGUUAUUGAUAUACUGAAUUUAGUGGUCUUAGUAAAUAAAAAU